rnacentral:rRNA from 1 species
UACGUAGGGUGCGAGCGUUAAUCGGAAUUACUGGGCGUAAAGCGUGCGCAGGCGGUGAUGUAAGACAGAUGUGAAAUCCCCGGGCUCAACCUGGGAACUGCAUUUGUGACUGCAUCGCUGGAGUGCAGCAGAGGGGGAUGGAAUUCCGCGUGUAGCAGUGAAAUGCGUAGAUAUGCGGAUGAACACCGAUGGCGAAGGCAAUCCCCUGGGCCUGCACUGACGCUCAUGCACGAAAGCGUGGGGAGCAAACAGG